UUCCACCCUUCUUUACAACUGUCUGCAAGUUGUGGUACUGUGUGGAAGGUGAAUGCCCAAAAUUGUGCAGUGCUGCAAGGCACUAGAGCUGGUGCAUAUGUUGCAGGGCUUGCAACCUCGAUGACUUUUAAUAAAAUGCUGUAAAAGAAAUGGUAGGCUGGGUUUUGAAUGGAGCAACAUACAAGCGUAGAGUAGAUUUGACUUGUGAAUGGUACACCGAACAGUGUAUAUUUUAUAGCAGUUUACUUUUUUGAUGGAUUAAACUUCUAAUGUCAUGAAGUAAGUGUAUUAACCAAAUUGUUUGUUUUCUAUAGGCUCACAAUGUAGCAUUUUCCUUUGAGCUUAUGCAGGAUGGCGGACUUAAGAAACCAAAGGCUCGCCCAGAAGAUAUUGUAAACCUGGAUUUGAAGUCAACACUGAGAGUGCUUUACAAUUUAUUCACGAAAUACAAGAAUGUGGAGUAAUUGCUGGAAUAACCAAGACAUUCUAGAAGAAACGUCACUGAGCAGUUAACCAGAAAUGACUCCCCUACACCUGUGCCUUGCCAAGUCGACAACACAGUAUUAGUUUCUUUUCGAUUUUCUAAAUAUGGAAUAUGCCCGUUUGUAAUUUGUUUUUAUAUGUACAGUACUCUACCCAUCCAGGUCCAUUUCUUCCUUCCCUUAAAACCAUUUUGGUAUUUAACUAAAUGUACCCAUCUUGCUUUAAGUGCUAUAGUUACAAUACUGUCUGUUAGAGUCAGUGGCACCUGACCAUUUUGUUUCCUGUGUUUUGUUUUAUGCUGUAUUGUAGUACAAAUUUUGAUACACCAUGUAUGUCACCUUACUCUUUGACACCAUGUUACAUUGAGGAUAGAGUAUAUCAUUUGAUUGCCUUGUGACUUCUUGAGGAUUGAGCAGUCUUUCACCUUUCAAGGACCAGAGCUCCUUCCUAGAAUAGACAGUAAUGUCUGUAUGUGAAGAUACUGGUUGGGAUUGGUGAAUGAUUUGCAACUCCUGCAACAUCUAAUUGACUUUAAAAAGUAACAGGGUAAAUCAUUACUUACACUGCAGUGUUGCUUUCUUCAAAGGGCUGUUGUGGUGCAGUGGUAGGAUCCCUACCUUUGAGUCAGGACACCCAGGUUCAAGUCCCAUCUGUUCCGAAGACGUGUAGUAACAAUUCUUAACAGGUUGAUUAGAAAAUAUAUUUUCUUCUUUGGGAGUUCUUCUAUACUGUGGUAGUCUCCUGACCUCUGAGCUGAAGUUCCACCUGCUCCAGAGGUGUGUAAUAACAACUCUGACUGGUUGAUUAGAAAAUAUCUACUGUUUUUCUUUGAAAAUUAUCCUAUCUGUUUACUCCCACGAUGUCAUCAGUUGGAAUGAAGCAAAUAAUGCAACUAUUGUAUUGUUCAUUCGCUAUGCCAUAUUUUGUAAUAGUCCACUUGAGUCCUUACAGCCAAUAGGAUGGGUUUCUACUUCCUUUAAGGCUUUACCAAUAACAUUGAGAGAUACACAUCUCGCACUUUUCUCCUGGGUUCAAAUGUCUCAGUGCAGCUGAGAUUGAGAAUUCAGUGAAGCAGCCACUUGCAUCUCUACAAUGCUGCAGCAUCACUGCCAGCAGAGAUUCAUCAUUGUUGGAGUUCUGCACUGAGAGAUUAAGUCAGUAUAAUUAAUGUAAUAUAACAGUUCUCAUAAAUUUGUUAGAGGCUUUACAAAGAUAAGAGUUUCUUCUGCUUUCGUAAUCUGUCUAAUUCUUAGGAAGAUGAUGGGCACAGCAACAAAGGAUUACGAAGCAAGUGACAAAUAGUUAGGUUGAAAAGCUGUCAUCAAAAUUAAUGGAAGGAAAUAAUGCAACAAAAAUAAAGACUAUUUUAAAGGGAUUUUCCUUCUUUAAAUGGUCAGCAUUCAUAACAUGUAUUGAUCCAGAAAAGUGUCCUAGGUUUUUACUGCAGUAUUCUAAAUUAUGAUUCUUAAUAUAUGUUUUGACAAUUGGUAAUUAAGUGUAGACACAUAAAAGGCAGAGUUAGAUAUACUUAGAUCUGUACCCUAUAUUGCAACAUAGUAAGGUUAAAUAUUAAUUAUGUAUCGGUACACAUAGCUGGUUGAGUACUUGAAUUCUGUACUUCAACAGUAUUUUCUCUUUGCUUCUUAUUACUGUUAAAGAAAAUCAAAAUGUUGGGCUGGAGAUUGAAAUGUUAAUGACUCCUUCAAUCAAAUGGUGGCACUGUAGCACAAAUAGACAAUAAGGCACAAGUGAGCCUUAACAAUAUGACUGAAACAUUUCUGCUUUCAAACAUCUGUCACUCUGCCGACUACUGAAUAUCAGGGUGCUGGGGGUAUCAGGAGGCAAAGUUCCUACUUUUGCUAGAACUAUUUUGGAAGUUGUUUUAUAAUCGGAGAAUGAGGAGGGCUUAGUGCAACUAAUUAUGUGAUGGACUUACUUGAGAUGACAGAUUCAUCAAGUCAAAAUUGAUUUUAAUGGAACGAUGUUAACCUGAGUACAGAACGAGAAUUUUUUGAUAAAAUUGUUGGAAGAAAUCCACCCCCUGCCCUGUAGGAGCAUAAUCAUGUUACCUACUCACCCAGGGGCAGUUUAACCUGUGUAAUUACUUAGGGCCUUGAGCUCGAGGAUUUACAGUUCCUCUUUGCUGACUCAAUGCAGGGUACAUGUAAAUGCUUGCAGAGGUCUGAUCUCCGUGCUUAUUUCUCACCUAGUUUCUUCACCCUCUCACAAAUCCUUACAAACUGCACAUGAAAUGGGAACCAUGCAAAGCAAACUCCUUAAUGGUACAACAGUAUUUUUAGAAAGCAUUGCAAAGCAUAUGUAGGAACAGUUCUGUUUUCCUGUUUUUUUUGUACUUAAUGAUUACAUCAAACUGUUUUCUGUUGUUAGAUUCUAAUUUACAAUUGUAAUAUUAUAAUAUAAUGCAAUUAUAAUUGGGAUAGAUGAGCAGACAGCAAAAUAAUCAUGUACUGUAACUGGCACUUGAGCGUUGGAAAGAGUUUGCACAUAAAGUUUGGUUUUUUCCCUGAUAUCUACCUUGCACACUUAUUUGUUUUGCCAUCAUGACAAUUUAUAAACUCUUAACUGUCUCUUUUUUUUUUAAAUAAUCUUUACUAUUUAUUAAACCAAUGAGUUUUAUAGUAUAUUGUUAGUGCAUGAUAUCAUCAACAAAGGUGCUAGUUAGAUGUAACCAGAAGCCAGUUUGGUUAUAACUUGCAGUGGCAAGCAGUAAUUUACUUGAAACAUAUUUCUUUUAUUGAAAAGUGUACUAUUAGCUGCAAUUCCUCAUAAACUGGAGAUAAUUUUAUAGUGAUGCAGUCACUGACAAGUAUAACAUGAAGAAUCUCACACAUGGACCUGUAAGUUCCUUUUGCACUGAAUUGCCUUAGACAACAGUGUGAUUUUCUUCUAUCACCUUGCAAGAUUAUAAAUGAUUCAAUGAUGUUAUCAGUUUUUUCAUUAUGUAAGUCACCUGAGUUAUAUUUACUGUGAAUAAGACACAAAACACCAGCACGUUUCCAUCUGGUAGGUCAAUCUCUAAAGAGCUCAUAUUCAAUUUUCCAUAAUGCCCUACUCACGCAUACCCAUUGAGCUUGCUGAUCUGCAUUGAUUCCUUGUUACCCAAUGUCUCCAAUUUAACUUCUUCCUCCUUUUUAUUUAAAUCCCUCUAUGUCCUUGCCACUCCAUAGCUUUGUAGCUGCCUAAAGUACUUCACCGAGGCUUCUCUUCCCAUUGAGCCCUGCAGUCUUAUGAAUUUGACCUUUUGUGCAUUUUCCCUUCUCUAGCCUUCACUUCUGCACUAUGCCCAUUGCAUUAGUGCCUUUAGCUGCUUAUCUUCAACAAUUUGGAAUUCCCAUCCUAUAUCCCAUGUAGCCUGUAUUAUUAACAUGCAUUCUGUUGACAAAAUCUUUGUCCUCUUGUUGUUAUGUCAUCACCUUUCUCAUGGUGUCAGUUUAAUUUGAAUAGUAAGCAUCUUGGGAUAUUUACAUGUGACAGAUUUUUCUUAUUUGUUACCCAAGCUUGGUUGUUAUCCCAACUUGUUGCAGAUUGGAAUGGGCAGCUUUAAUAUUGAAAGAGAUUGAUCCUGAAUACCAUGGAAUCAUCAGUGAUGAGCCCUGUCCUGACUUCAUAACGACAGAUUGUCCAUGAAUGUAACAGCUAAUGUUUGUGUCCAGAAGGCUUCCCUGAUGAACUUGUUAAACCAAUGUGAGUUUUCCUUCCCAUUACCAACAUUCUUUUGUGCCUUCUACUCUUAAGUUAUCUUAAGGGUUUCCCUUUAAUUCCAUUAACUCUAAUUUGGUCAGGCUUCUUUGUGCUGUGCUUGGUUGAUUACUGCCUGUACACCUACUUUUGCCUGCCCUCUAGGUUGCCUUUUCUCUGGGGUGAUGUGUAAUAUUAGGACAGUCGUCCAGAUUAUGCCUCUGGCUUGAUUGACAGACAUCAGAAUGGAUCAAGCUACCGUGUUGCUUCCCUACUCCUAACAUGUAAGAACAAGAUCACUGUUACCUGAAUUAAUCUGAGUCAUGUUGCUUUAGUUGUAACAUGACUGAAUUUCUUCAGAACAUCCUCUGCAAUAAAGUUAGUUAAAUGUUUACUGAUGUACAAUGUGUUCUUUAGGAAUAUGGAGAAUGUUAUAAAUCUCACCAAUAUUUAAGCUUGAAAUGAUCAGAUAAAUCCUUGCCAUCAAAUCACUGACUUUGUAGUGCAUAAAACUUAAAAGUUACAAUUGUAUGCUGCAGUUUCUUUUUUGUCACUUAACUGGAUGAUAUUGAAAAUUGCAGCAAAAUGAGACCCAAGAAUCUGAUCUUGAGUUCAAAUGAAGUUUUGACUUGACUUUACAAUGUGGGGAAACAUUUUGAUUAUUUGGAUUUUCUUUGUACUCCAUUGGGCAGUGUCAGCUCUAAUUAAACUAACCUCCCCCCCUCAAAAAACACAGGUUAGAUUUUUAAAAAUAUUUUAAGAUUAAUUGCAUUGUAUUUAAGGUUAGUAGAAUUUUAGAUGUGUGAAACUCAAAUUAAAUCCUCCUUUCUAAACAGACAAUGUGAACACUAAUCUUGACUGCAGCUUGGACUCUUAUUCCUAACAGCAUAUUUACAUCUGUUUCUUGUAAAGAUGAUGUACUUUGGAGCACCUAUCAGAUUACAAAGGUGCAUUUUACAGCUCCCUUUACAAUUUUUGCAGAAGUAGUUUUCAUGUAAACAGUGUUCUGAAAGUUGAGCUGCUGUAUCCUGGCCUGUGCGAUCAUUUCUUAUGGAAGUUUUGACUUGUGUGUGAAGGAAUUGGAAUAUGUAGCUCACCUCAUUAGGGGUGAGGUGAGGCUGUAUGGGGCAAGAAGUUAGUCUGCUAUUUAGAAAGUUCAGUUUUAAUUAUAUAGUAAAUAUAAUUUAUUUUAAUUGACUUUGACUUUGGAUGAAUCCUCAGUGUAAUAAACAUAAGAACCACUAUCAUUAGCAGUCCAACUGGAAUAUUUUAUAGGUAGAACAGAAAGUUGUAUAGUAUUGCAAUACAUUUUAAAAUAUUUUAUCACUGAUAACACAAUGCAGCACUAACUUCAGCUGUACUGUUAUAAAUGAACAUUUAAUGCACAACAGUAACCUCAACUAUAAUUUGAGUUUACAGCAGUUCAAAAUCAGAUAUCACAGAAGGAUUGAUGUUUGAUCACUGCUUUCAUCAUGCUUGGAGAGCGCCUGUGUAAUGAAUAUCCAGUGAAGCAGUGUAUUGCAACAAUCAUCUCAAUUUCCCAUUCCCUCCUUCUUGUGCUCUCAUUGGGAGUCCAUGAUUGACUACUUGAACAGAACUUACUCAGUGGUAUACCAGGGUUACUCCUUGGUGAAGGAAUGGGAUUGUCAAGAUUAUUCCCUCAGGAUUUGGUUGUUUAUUUUAAGAGUUGUUUUGAUGCCAUUACAAUGUAAAUUACAGUCAUAUGGAUUUUCAACUUUGAUAUCUAAGUACUACCCUUAAGCAAUACAGGCACAUGUCCAGCUGUUUUAAGUUGAAAGCAAAUCUCAGAAAAUAGCCUGAGAUACUAACAGAAUCUUAACGAUAUAACCGGCGAAGUAUUCCGUAAAACCUCAAACUGGUUUAAGGUAUGAGGAAUUGUUAGCUGUAACAUAUGUUGGUGGAAGAUGUUAAAUUUUAUCAUGCUUACACGGGGGAGGCAGAAUAGUGUGGUGAUUGGUCAGGAAACUGUCCUUUCAGCCCUAGCAACUAGGUGUGAAUCUAACCGCAAGUGAGUUUAGACAAUUUCAUCAUGUAUUCGAUGUCAAUUUGUGGAAUGUAAUUUGGUACUAAAUAGUCAGUCUUGCUGUGGACAUGCAUUGUGGAAAACAUCAUUUUCCUGUUGGGAUUAAAUACAGAUUUCUGCAAAAGCAUACUGGGAAUAGAUUCUGCAAUUAACCAGUUAGUUGCCUUUUAUUGAGCAUAAUUAUAAUGCUGGAGUUUCUUACUUCCGUAUUGACAUGUUUCAACUUGUAUUGUACCUGAUGUAUUUGAGAAGAAAAGAAUUACUUGUUUAUAGUGAAGCAUCCUACAGAAGUGUUCAUUUAUUAUUAGAAAAAUAAGUGUUGCUACAAUCACAAGAUUUUAAUAACUUGAGAAAUUAUCUUGACUUCAUGCACUGUUAAUGAAUUGUCAUACUGUUAAAAAUUAUUUCUUUAUUUGAUCUCUGAGGUGAUACAGCCAUCUAAAAAUGCAUACUGUGUCGGAUCAGUGUUGAAAAACUACUGGAAGUAUCAGAAACUAUUGUCCUGUCAAAGAAUGCAAGUGUCUUCUGUAUGCAUGGUUUGAGAAACAUUAACUAUUAUUUAUUCUAAUAAAUAUGUUUAUUAGUGACCAA